GUGAACCUGCGGAAGGAUCAUUGUCGCGAGUCAGAGCCACCGGCGAACCAGUUCUGUCACUCCAGCUCCCGGGGCGCACCUCCGAGGCCGUGAGCCUGCCCGUCGUCCCCGCGCAUUUGGGUUCGGCCUAGCGGCGGCGGUGGGGCCUGGGGUUGCGCGACCGAGCGAGCAGGCACCUUUCGGGCGCGGUGCGCGCCAAGGACUUGAAGCGGAUUGAGCGGCGUCCUCUCACGGUGCCCGGCUUGCCCUCCGUAGAGCGUAGGCCGCGGCUUGCCAUGGGAUUCGACCCGCGUCUCUUAAUUGGAAUACGACUCUCGGCAACGGAUAUCUCGGCUCUCGCAUCGAUGAAGAACGUAGCGAAAUGCGAUACUUGGUGUGAAUUGCAGAAUCCCGUGAACCAUCGAGUCUUUGAACGCAAGUUGCGCCUGAGGCCACUCGGCCGAGGGCACGUCUGCCUGGGCGUCACGCCACCCAUUCUUCCCCCGCCGCCGUCGGUGCGGUCCGGGGUGAUGCGGAGAUUGGCCGUCCGUGCCCUCCUGGGUGCGGUUGGCCCAAAUAUGUGGUCACGGUGCGGUAMGGCACGACGUGUGGUGGUUGAGAGGCGACUCGUCGCUGCUCUCACGCCGUGCCCGCUGCGCUUAGUCACGCAUGGGACCCAACUCGCCCGCUCCGGCGGGAGCUCGAACCGCGACCCCAGGUCAGGCGGGGCCACCCGCU
rnacentral:rRNA from 2 species